rnacentral:rRNA from 1 species
UUUUAUGAGAGUUUGAUCCUGGCUCAGGACGAACGCUGGCGGCGUGCCUAAUACAUGCAAGUCGAACGCUUCUUUUUCCACCGGAGCUUGCUCCACCGGAAAAAGAGGAGUGGCGAACGGGUGAGUAACACGUGGGUAACCUGCCCAUCAGAAGGGGAUAACAC